UUCAUCCUACUGUUGCAGAUAAAAGAUUUUGAUCGAGAACAUGGGGUCGCUGCUGAUCAGCAGGAGGGUGUAUGGUUUGCUUUAAUAGGAAGAUGAGCAAGAAAGAAGCUCAAAUGAUGUUCUUGGAACCUAGAGAUUAAGAGGGGAUGAAGUUUCAAAUGGAUUCAGUCAGUAAUUUUUCCAGGUUUUGAAGUUCCAUUAAUGGCGGUAGUGAAGGUUUCAGGUACAAUUCAAUACAAAUAUAUGAGUGGAAAUCAACAGUUGCCAACAAGGAAACCAGUCGAGAUGAGUCUGCAGCUUGAGAUUGUCGUGGAUGGUCUCAGUUGUUGUCAAAGAUGAACUCAGGUGAAAGAAUGGAUGUUGUGGUUGAGAGAUGAACUAGGAGAGACGGAGAUUCAAAUUGUGGCAUGCUGCGAAGAAGUAACAUGUACUGGAAUAAUGGUGAGAUCUCAUUGAGUAAACAAAUCAGUUGAAGACCAUGUUGCUGCCAUGAUUUGUGUGGGAUGUAUGCAAAGAAAUUUGGAUGGGUUUGAAUGAUUUGCAGGGAAUGAGAUUUGAAAUGACUUGGAUAUCAACAGCAGUAUUGCAUCUACAACAUCAGCAGAAUACACGCGAGGCUUUUGAGAAUGAGCCUAAGUGAAUGGAUCGAUACCAGUUUGUGGUUCAAAAGUAUGCAUUUCUGUCAUGGGUUUCUGGGCUAUUAUUGAACUGGAUUUUACGUUAAAGACGUGGAGAAGCAGAUGAAUGGUUGCCGCUGGUGAUGGUUAUCUGUGAGAAACUCUUGGAACCGAUGGGGAGUUAUGAGAAGAGUUUAUUGCUGAUGGUAAUGAAUGAAGGUCUGGGAGCAGAGGGUUUGGCUCGGAAUCAUCCAUCGGCUUCUCUGUAGGUAUUUUGAUCUUUUUGGAUAAAUCACAGACCGAAAUCUCAACUAUCUGCGGCUCUUGGUGUUGCAUUUGAGGGUAUUUCCAGUAUGUGGUUUGUUGCUUAAUCAUUUUAAUUCUCUUUCUUAUUUCAGGGAUUCAAUUUUGUUUUUCUGGUGGAUAUAUUUUUUGCGCCUCUGGGGUUAGUCAGUUCAUUUAUUUAUUUAUUGGAUUUUUUUUGCUUUCCGUAUGGACAGUAGUUGAUUCUCUGUCUCUUUUUUAGUAUGGCGGGGGAAAUCUGUUGUUCCAAAAAAAAAAAAAGGUGUGCGCUCUUGGUUUUCAAAAAUUACAUGUGUAUCUGUUGUUUGUUUCAUUUUCAUUCUCAAUUGGGGUGUUGUACUUAUGCCAAAACCUCUCAGGGCCUGAUUUAUUUAAUCUUAUCCGUGAGUUUGUUUGACUUGUUAUAGGUAUUGCCUCCUAUACUACCCCAUUAUCCUCUUAUUACAAGAUUCAUUUGCGAACAAAGUGGGUGGAAAAAAAUAUCAACAGCAGUUGAAGUCAUUGGCUUGACAUUUUAAUACAACGGCAUGGGUUACAUGUAUCUGGAAGGGAGCAAAAGGUGAUGGUGUAGAAGCAGAUAUUAAAGAAGAAAGAAUUCAAUCUUGCAUUUAAGUUAAAUGUAUGCCACCUAUUAGAAUUUUAUUCUUCAUGUAAACUUUUGAUUGAUUAUACAAAAACUCAUAUCACACUCAUGACAAAAAGUUGUUAUUUGAAACUCA